rnacentral:lncRNA from 10 species
CGACCUUUGUGAAUUAAGCCCAUUCAGUUCUUCCACCACCCCAGGGCACGACCAAAUCCACCGCCAAAGGGCAAGAAAACCAGGACAACGUGGCCUGUAUAAAUUAUUCCCUACCUACACCCUGAGCAGACUUCUCUGCACUCAAUAAAUGCCAAUAAAAGGCUAUUUCCUUUCACCGAUUCCCUCGGGAAGUUAGGAAUUUCCUCCAAAAUGAUGCUACUGCUUUAUAUUUAACGUGAAUAUUCCUCCAAUUGGUCUCUAAAAGUGGCACCGAAAAUUACAUUAUUACCCAUUCAUCCCUUUGGAUUAAACAUUGCCAUCAUGAGGCAUCAAUCCCGAUAUUGAACCAUUUUACAGGAAAUACAGGUAAAGAGGAAUAUGUUAAGUGACUUCAUGGGGACAACAGGCAAAUUCUGAUGUGGUAAACUACAGAACUCUGGUUUCUUCCACAAAAUUGCAAGACCUGAAGGGAAACAUCAAUUUUUAAAAUUUGAGGAGCAUUAACCAACCACAAUGGACCUUAUCUGGAAAAAUUUGAUAAGACACCUGGUUAAGUGAACACAAACUGGAUGUGAUAUUAAGGAACUGGCCACGCAUUGAUCAUAGUUGAAGCUGGGUGAUGAGACAUGGAGAUUCAUUAUAUUCUUUUUUUUUUUUUUUUUAAUUUGAGAAGGAGUUUCGCUCUUGUUGCCCAGGCUGGAGUACAGUGGCGUGAUCUUGGCUCACCGCAGCCUCCACCUCCUGGGUUCGAGCGAUUCUCCUGCCUCAGCCCCCGAAUAGCUGGGAUUACCGGCAUGCACCACCACGCCCGGCUAAUUUUGUAAUUUUAGUAGAGACGAGGUUUCCCCAUGUUGGUCAGGCUGGUCUCGAAUUCCGGACCUCGGGUGAUCCACCCGUCUCGGCCUCCCAGAGUGCUGGGAUUACAGUGUGAGCCACCGCGCCCAGUCCAUUAUGUUAUUCUCCUUGCAAAUCUUUCCUCCUACCACCCAGUCAGCAAGAUUUGGGAAGCUUGGGUAAAUGAUGGAAUUAAAAGGUCAAUUUCUUAGGAUGGCUACAAGACCAAAUGUAAACUUCACACUUAAUUUAUGCUUAAUCUAAUUAGAAAACAUCUGCCUAAGAAUUAGAGAAAGAGCUGGGUGCUGUGGUGGUGCGUGCUUGUGAUCCCAGCUACUCCAGAGGCUGGGGCAGGUAAGAUCUCUUGAGCCUAGGAGUCCGAGGACCAGGGGGAAUAAAAAGGAGCUAGGGAAAGAAUCUAUCCCCAGGGUACUGGGGCCCGCUGCGGCUGCAUGCCCUUGAGGCUUUCUAAGAGGAGCCAGGAAACCUGGGCCCAGAACCCACAAGGAUAAGGGCUUGGAUGGCCCAGGAGGGGCCUAACUGGGACAAGACAAGGAAAGAGCCUUUAGAGUAUUCAGUACAGAAAACUGCACGGAGAGCAACACCAGUUCCCUCCCCAUGUAGCUCCCACAUCAACACUAAGCCAGCAACUCCACUCUACAGAGUUUAUUGGGUUUGUAACUGGACGAAGUCACACGUGUACAAAAUGAAGCUCACACUAUCCCAAAGCAGAGUAGGGACUGAGGCCGGGGAUCCAUUACUGGCCUUUGGGGGAGCUCUGAGGACAGACAGGUGGAUGGGAGAGCAGGAGCCUCAGAACUCCCCUGCCCAGGGAGCCCAGGGGCUGCUCCACCGGUCCCACUUGUAAUGUGCUUGGCCCAGACCUAGACUCGGGCUGGUGCAAAGGGAAGGCAGCAAAGCAGGAGGGAGGAGACACUGAUGUGUGGUGGGGGAG